rnacentral:lncRNA from 1 species
GCGGAGGGCGAGUCCUGGCCGCAGGUUCGGCCGCCUCGCGCACCUGCAGCACGGGCCACAGUGAUAAGGCCCUACACGGUGGGAGUUGCCCACCGCGCCUCAGCUCGCAGUCCGCCGAGGUUCGCUGGGCCUCGCCGGUCCCUCCGGACGCCGAGCCGCUCGGGCACUAGGGCGUCCACCCGCCGGCCUUUUCUCCCGCAUGACCCCGCGCCACUCACCUGGCUGACGGUCCUCCGUCGAUCCGCCUCCGCGGCUGUCAGCCGCCGGGGAGUCUGUCCCCGGGCAGCGGCGAGGCCUGACGGCGGCCGGGCCGACGCCGCGCGCCAGCCGGGCUAACGGUGCUCUCGCCAGCCUCGCUUACCGGCCGCGGCUCCGCCCCUCACGCCGCGCCUGCCCGAGGGGGUCGCGCGCGCGCGUGCGGCCGC